rnacentral:rRNA from 1 species
UAGAGUUUGAUCCUGGCUCAGGAUGAACGCUGGCGGCGUGCUUAACACAUGCAAGUCGAACGAUGAUCCCAGCUUGCUGGGGGAUUAGUGGCGAACGGGUGAGUAACACGUGAGUAACCUGCCCUUAACUCUGGGAUAAGCCUGGGAAACUGGGUCUAAUACCGGAUAUGACUCCUCAUCGCAUGGUGGGGGGUGGAAAGCUUUUUGUGGUUUUGGAUGGACUCGCGGCCUAUCAGCUUGUUGGUGAGGUAAUGGCUCACCAAGGCGACGACGGGUAGCCGGCCUGAGAGGGUGACCGGCCACACUGGGACUGAGACACGGCCCAGACUCCUACGGGAGGCAGCAGUGGGGAAUAUUGCACAAUGGGCGAAAGCCUGAUGCAGCGACGCCGCGUGAGGGAUGACGGCCUUCGGGUUGUAAACCUCUUUCAGUAGGGAAGAAGCGAAAGUGACGGUACCUGCAGAAGAAGCGCCGGCUAACUACGUGCCAGCAGCCGCGGUAAUACA